rnacentral:rRNA from 1 species
UGGGGAAUCUUGCGCAAUGGCCGAAAGGCUGACGCAGCGACGCCGCGUGUGGGAUGAAGCAUUUCGGUGUGUAAACCACUGUUGCCCGGGACGAAUCCGCCUUUUCGAGGGCGUUGACGGUACCGGGUGAGGAAGCACCGGCUAACUCCGUGCCAGCAGCCGCGGUAAUACGGAGGGUGCGAGCGUUGUCCGGAAUCACUGGGCGUAAAGGGCGCGUAGGCGGCGCGGGAAGUCCGUGGUGAAAGCCCGAGGCUCAACUUCGGGUCGGCCAUGGAUACUCCUGGGCUCGAGCACUGUAGAGGCAGGUGGAAUUCCGGGUGUAGCGGUGGAAUGCGUAGAGAUCCGGAAGAACACCGGUGGCGAAGGCGGCCUGCUGGGCAGUAGCUGACGCUGAGGCGCGACAGCGUGGGGAGCAAACAG